UACGUAGGGUGCGAGCGUUGUCCGGAAUUACUGGGCGUAAAGGGCUUGUAGGCGGCCAACUAAGUCAGACGUGAAAUCCCUCGGCUUAACCGGGGAACUGCAUCUGAUACUGGAUGGCUUGAGUUCGGGAGAGGGAUGCGGAAUUCCAGGUGUAGCGGUGAAAUGCGUAGAUAUCUGGAGGAACACCGGUGGCGAAGGCGGCAUCCUGGACCGACACUGACGCUGAGGAGCGAAAGCCAGGGGAGCAAACGGG
rnacentral:rRNA from 1 species